ACCUAGGAUAGCUCAGUUGGUAGAACGUGGGAGUCUUAAUCUCAGGGCUGUGGGUUUAAGUACCACAUUAGGCA